rnacentral:tRNA from 1 species
ACAUUGAUGGUUCAGUAGUAAAACUCUCUCCUUCCAUGAGGGAGACCUGAGUUUGAUUCCUAGCCAAUGCA